CCAUGGUCUCUCCGUGACCCCCAACCCCACUUAUGGGGCAGCCGAUGGACCUCAGUGACCCUGAACUUCACUUAUGGGGCAGCCCAUGGAGCCUCCGCAACCCAGCAGCUCGCUUAUGGGGCAGCCAAUGGACUUUGCUGCCCCCCAACCUCACUUAUGGGGCAGCCCAAGGACCUCAGUGACCCCCAAGUUCACUUAUGGGGCAGCCAUGGACCUCAAUGACACUUCUUCACCCCACACUUAUGGGGCAGCCAAUGGACAUCAAUGACCCUUCUUCACCCCACGCUUAUGGGGCAGCCAAUGGACCUCAGUGACCCCCAACUCACUUAUGGGGCACCCUAUGGACUUCAGUGACCCCCAGGUGCACUUAUGGGGCACCCUAUGGACUUCAAUGACCCCCAAGCUCACUUAUGGGGCACCCUAUGGACUUCAAUGACCCCCA